rnacentral:rRNA from 1 species
UGGGGAAUAUUGCACAAUGGGCUAAAGCCUGAUGCAGCGACGCCGCGUGAGGGAUGACGGCCUUCGGGUUGUAAACCUCUUUCAGUAGGGACGAAGCGCAAGUGACGGUACCUGCAGAAGAAGCACCGGCUAACUACGUGCCAGCAGCCGCGGUAAUACGUAGGGUGCGAGCGUUGUCCGGAAUUACUGGGCGUAAAGAGCUCGUAGGCGGUUUGUCACGUCGUCUGUGAAAUCCUAGGGCUUAACCCUGGACGUGCAGGCGAUACGGGCUGACUUGAGUACUACAGGGGAGACUGGAAUUUCUGGUGUAGCGGUGGAAUGCACAGAUAUCAGGAAGAACACCGAUGGCGAAGGCAGGUCUCUGGGUAGUAACUGACGCUGAGGAGCGAAAGCAUGGGUAGCGAACAGG